UCUCCCAUUUCAUCCUCUGCAGGACUGUCUCCAAGGCAGUCUCUCUCUCCCUAGCAACUCUCCCACUCAUUUCGACACCCAGCGCCGUGAAGGGCACGGCUCCAUUUCUUCAUCCAGCUGCUGUGUGUGAACCCGGCAAAAAUCAGGGGAAAAGGAUGGGCCUCCAGUUACAUCUCACAGUACGCUGGAGUGAGGCAGGCGACAUUGUUCCCAGCUGACUUCAGUGACAAUGGUGUGGGGUAGUGGAGGAUCAGACUGGCCUCUUGCCUUUGAACAAGUGGGCUGCAGAAACGCCUUGGGAUACCUCUGGAAAUGCCUCAUGCCCGAAGAAAGUGAGUGCAGCCCUGGCCAACGAUGUUACAACGGGGUUUGCAUCUGUAUUUUUCCUUUUUGGAAUAGUCGGCCAAGACAAGUGAACUAUGGAAGAGACUGCUCCUUGUUUUCUAUUCUACUUUAAGUCCACUCUGAGGAACACCACAACUGCAGACUGAGUGCUGGUCCAGUAUUCCUGAAGGACCAUAUCUCAAAACCCCAGACUCAGAUUUCAAGAAGGACUCCCAAGGCAAGUCGCACAUACAGCUUGCUGCAGUAGACUGGCUCUUCAGAACUGACAGUCUGACCAGCUGCUACGCACAGCUCAGGGCAAAAUCCAGAGCUGCAUCUUCUCUACUCUUUUGCUGCCUAUUUGAGGCAACAAGCAGCUGUUUAUGAUACCUAAAAAUGGUGCCUCUGCACUACGUACUAGUGUGUCCCACUGCGCACGAGAGCGGUGACAUCUGUUCUUAUGGUAAGUGGAAAGACAGAAGUCUGAACUCCCACCCUUAGGAAAUCAGUCACUGUGACUUUUUUUAAUUGAAAGGUUUGUUUUAAAAAAUGCUCGGAAGCGGUUUGUCACAAGCUGAAAUGGUUGGUCAUGUUACAUUGACCCUUUUUUUGUUUUGUUCCACUAACAAAAAAAUUAGGGGCGAUAUCUGUUGUGUUGCCUAAGGAUGCCUCUCAUUGCAUUUGUGUAAUACAUUCCGACUAUAUCCAAAAUGGACAGUCUUUUUCACUGCAAGUAUAAGGAAGACCAGCUUCUUAGCAGCUCACAGCCCGUUCAGACCGUUCUCUUUGCAGUGACUGGACUGUUACAUGCUAGAGGUAGCACGCUUUUCCUCCAGUAGGAAAAAAAAAAAUCAAGGUUACGGACAUACUAGCAAAACUUCCUGUGUGUUCAGAGUAUGUGUUGCAUCUCCAUAUGCCCUUCUACUGGUGCAAUACAUAUAAAUUUCCAGGAAAAAAGAAGCUCUAAUGAUAAACUGCAACUGUCCUACACUUAAUCUAUUGUUUGGCACAUUUCUGUAACUGGGAUUGUUAAAGCAAACAGUAUUAGUGCAGACCUAGCUAUAGAUCUUAACCACCAGCUAAAAACUGUUGGUGUUUCUGAAUCUCUACCUAGACCACAGAAUUUAUUUAGAACAGAAAAGGGACUCAUGAACAGUUCUGGUCAGCAUGAAGUAGAUAAUCAGAUCUUUUCCCUGGCUUGUAUGCAGAUAUUUGAAGUGAUUGUGGUUGAUCCUUGGUUUCAUAAUGGUGUUAAUCUGGACCAACUUAAUUAAGGUAAAAGAUGCCAAUCUGCACCAGGGCUAAGCUAAUGGCCAGGAUUUGUUAAUAUGAUUUUACUAGUCAGUGCAGAUAAACUGUCAGCAUUUAGUACUGCAGAGUGGAUUCCUUGUAGAAAAGCAUGUAAGAUAAUGUGUGGUUGGAGCUUUUUAAAUUUCUCUGCUGGACUAAACUGGGGAGAAGCAGGACUACAAUCUGCAUGAAGUUUACAGACAACCUCUAAAGGUCAUGUGCAAAAAAUUAAAGAAGACAAAGCUCCUGAUGUAACCAUCCGGAAGCUCAUCAAACACCACAGCUGUCAAUGUGCACAAGAUCUACUUCACAAUGAGCUGAGAGCAAACGUGGGGACCAGUGCAGGCUGCACAACAUAUUACUGAAGCAAAUUAUCCCAUCUGGAAUGUGUAAAGUCAAGCACAUGGAUCAGUUUUUGCAAGACAUGGACUAUAAUUUACCACUUGGAUUUCUAGAGCUGUGCUCCCACACGGAAAACACUGUUGAGAGGUCCUUCACACCACAAAGCCACUGGGGAGGAUUCUCUGUAUUUCAGUGAAAAGUCAAGAGCUGAAACAGCUUUCUCCAUCAGCAAGGGUUUUGUUUCUUCAGCUUCAUGGAAAAUCUAGAAAAGUCAAUAUUGCUAAUCAGG